GAUGAAGAACGCAGCGAAAUGCGAUAAGUAAUGUGAAUUGCAGAAUUCAGUGAAUCAUCGAAUCUUUGAACGCACAUUGCGCCCGCUAGUAUUCUGGCGGGCAUGCCUGUCCGAGCGUCAUUUCAACCCUCAAGCCCCCGGGCUUGGUGUUGGGGAUCGGCCCAGCCUUCCUGUAAGGCCGCCGGCCCCGAAAUCUAGUGGCGGUCUCGCUGUAGUCCUCCUCUGCGUAGUAGCACAACCUCGCAGUUGGAACGCGGCGGUGGCCAUGCCGUUAAACACCCCACUUCUGAAAGUUGACCUCGGAUCAGGUAGGAAUACCCGCUGAACUUAAGCAUAUCAAUAAGCGGAGGA
rnacentral:misc_RNA from 1 species